rnacentral:rRNA from 1 species
GUGUCAGCCGCCGCGGUAAGACGUAGGAUGCAAGCGUUGUCCGGAAUUAUUGGGCGUAAAGAGUUCGUAGGCGGCAUGAAAAGUCUGGUGUUAAAGCCCGGAGCUCAACUCCGGUUCGGCAUUGGAUACUUUCAAGCUAGAGUACAGAAGAGGCAAAGGGAAUUCCUAGUGUAGCGGUGAAAUGCGUAGAUAUUAGGAGGAACACCGGUGGCGUAAGCGCUUUGCUGGGCUGUAACUGACGCUGAGGAACGAAAGCCAGGGGAGCAAAUGGGAUUAGAUACCCCAGUAGUCCUGGCCGUAAACGAUGGAUACUAGGUGUUGUGGGUAUCGACCCCCGCAGUGCUGCAGCUAACGCAAUAAGUAUCCCGCCUGGGGAGUACGCACGCAAGUGUGAA